rnacentral:rRNA from 1 species
UACGUAGGGUCCGAGCGUUGUCCGGAAUUACUGGGCGUAAAGCGCACGUAGGCGGCUUGGUAUGUCGGGUGUGAAAUCCCCGGGCUCAACCUGGGAACUGCAUCCGAAACUGCCUUGCUAGAGUAUGGGAGAGGGAAGUGGAAUUUCCGGUGUAGCGGUGAAAUGCGUAGAUAUCGGAAGGAACAUCAGUGGCGAAGGCGACUUCCUGGACCAAUACUGACGCUCAGGUGCGAAAGCGUGGGGAGCAAACAGG